AUACAUAUAUUUAGAGUAAUAGCUUGAUGUGUGUUUCAAAGGGGGUUUUUUUCCACAAAAGCUUCAAACAAACAGGGGUGACUGAUCUCGGGAACGAUUUAAUGCAUUUAAAAAUGGCUACAGCUACCGUCAGCAUGCUUGCUAGGUACAGUACGGUAACGACUACACGUGGCUAGUGCAGCAUUAGCCAUUUAAACCAACGAUGAUCAUUAAAUCUAUUAUAAACAUUUAAGGACUUGUGUGUUGCAAAAGAGCCUCACAUGGUGUGUAAAGCAGUUUUUGCACUAAUAGUUCUUGCUAGCUAUUUACAAACCUAUAAUGCUAACGUUAAUUGCUAACGUUAACCGGAGCGCUAAGCUUCAAGCUGCUGACGAACUCCGUCAAGACAUGCAGAUCAGCAUCAAUGUCCACGUGAAGAACCUAGUUAUGUUGCCAGUGUCAACCCAACAAAAGGCACUUUCACAAUAUAUAAAAGAAGUGUGUGGAACUGAGGUGCUUCCUCAGGUUGUUGGAGGAUGGCGAAGAGGACGCAGCCAUGACUUGUGAGAUGGCG